AAGGAUCACGAUGGUGUUUGAAGGGUCAAAUGGUGAUUGAGACAGAUGGCAUAACAGGUCUGCAACCAGCAGGUAAUCACUGUCAUUCUGCAACACGACUACGACUUUAGGUUCAGGGCCAGUACAGAUAGGAUACGUUGGCUGGUGGAAUGGAUUUAGGGUAUUUAUCUUGGUGCAACCAUUGAAUUCACCUGGUCCUUUGUCUUCUUUUGCAGGUUGAUACUGUCUACGAUAAAGAUGCAGACUCCUUCAUGGCCUGCUGGGUUAGAAUGAUUUGCAGCAAAGUGUUGCAAAAUUCUACAAUAUUUCAUGACAGGCUGGAUGUGAUUCUGUAGGUGAGAUACCACUGCUGGUUGGUUGUAGGUCCACUCUUGGAACACUCCAUGAAUGAGUUCAGCAUCAGGUCACGUUGAUUCCUUGCAUCAUGACCAUGGUUCAGUUCUGAUUUUCCCUUGUGAUUGAUUUGAUUCAUUGUUUGGCUAGGUAUGAUGACAGCUCGUUCAACAAGGUGAUAAAGUACCCCAAACCUU
rnacentral:lncRNA from 1 species